UACAGGGGGUGCAAACGUUGCUCGGAAUCACUGGGCGUAAAGGGUGCGUAGGCGGGUCUUUAAGUCAGGGGUGAAAUCCUGGAGCUCAACUCCAGAACUGCCUUUGAUACUGAGGAUCUUGAGUUCGGGAGAGGUGAGUGGAACUGCGAGUGUAGAGGUGAAAUUCGUAGAUAUUCGCAAGAACACCAGUGGCGAAGGCGGCUCACUGGCCCGAUACUGACGCUGAGGCACGAAAGCGUGGGGAGCAAACAGG
rnacentral:rRNA from 1 species